AACGAACGCUGGCGGCAGGCUUAACACAUGCAAGUCGAGCGCCCCGCCAGGGGAGCGGCAGACGGGUGAGUAGCGCGUGGGAACGUACCCUUAUCUUCGGGGUAGCUCCGGGAAACUGGAAUUAAUACCGAAUGUGCCCUUUGGGAGUAAGAUUUAUCGGAUAAGGAUCGGCCCGCGUUGGAUUAGCUCGUUGGUGGGGUAAAGGCCUACCAAGGCGACGAUCCAUAGCUGGUCUGAGAGGAUGAUCAGCCACAUUGGGACUGAGACACGGCCCAAACUCCUACGGGAGGCAGCAGUGGGGAAUAUUGGACAAUGGGCGCAAGCCUGAUCCAGCCAUGCCGCGUGAGUGAUGAAGGCCUUAGGGUUGUAAAGCUCUUUCACCGGAGAAGAUAAUGACGGUAUCCGGAGAAGAAGCCCCGGCUAACUUCGUG
rnacentral:rRNA from 1 species